UCCAUCCCGGGGCCUGACCUGACAUCCUCUUCCAUUGCAGAGUGAUCAUCACCAUGCUGGUAGCCACUGCUGUCUGCUGUUACCUCUUCUGGCUCAUCGCCAUCCUGGCCCAGCUGAACCCUCUGUUUGGGCCACAGCUGAAGAAUGAGACCAUCUGGUAUGUGCGCUUCCUGUGGGAGUGACCGCUGCUGCUUCAGCCCAGGUACCCCAGCUCUCCGGAUAACCUUGGCUCAACUGUCCCUGAAGACCCCUUUGUUCCACCCCCACAGCUGUGUCGUGAUCCCUCUGUGUUGAAGUAAUGGAAAAUCAUUCACACCCAAAACACCAUAGUAAUUUGGGUCCAGAUUGAAA